AUCCAGCGGACGAGUCCCAACUAGGACGAAGUGACGCACGUCCUAGAU
rfam:Schistosoma haematobium scaffold145_6, whole genome shotgun sequence.